CAAAGGCAAAGAAAAGGUCAUCGAGUAGCCGAGUUGGAACCGUCUUACCCAACACGAGGUAAGUCAUUAAGCAUAUAGUUGGUAUUAAUUCAACUGGUCAUAACGUUUAUGUAAUGAUGCUGAAUGGAAUGAAUAAAUAUAUAUAUGCAUGUACGUAUGUGAUGAUGAAAGUGUUGAAUGAAAAGAAAAGAGGUGAGAUGUAUUGAGUUGUUGAUCUCGGCACUAAAUGUGCGAGUAUAAACAUUUAUGACCACGAGAUUGGCGCUACGUGUGCGGGUUUAAAUUGUGCAGCACUAAGUGUGCGAAUUGACUAUGUAGCACUAAGUGUGCGAGUUUGACUAUGUAGCACUAAGUGUGCGAGUUGACUAUGUAGCACUAAGUGUGCGAGUUUGAUUAUGUAGCACUAAGUGUGCGAGUUGAUUAUAUAGCACUGAGUGUGCGGACUUAAUAUAUAUCCUUGAAUCAUUAUGGACACUAAGUGUGCGACGCUAUUGAGUCGAUCACGGACAGCGGAUCGGGUAAGUGUCUUGAGUUCAUGGCUAAUAGGUGCUAUGUCUAUACUUGGUGUUGAGCUUGGUAAGUUUGAACCUAUGUGACAAAUAUACUUGAAGUCACGUACAUGAAAUUUAUCGUAGAAUGGGUGAAAGGCCGUUUAGUUGUAUGUUUGUAACGAAAAUAAAAUGAUUUAUGAAAAUGCCUCGAGUAUCCUAUUGAUGAGUAUGUGGAUUGUGAAUGCAUAAAUUGGUAUGAAAUUAAACCGAUAGGUCGGAGGAACUAUGGUAUGGUUCGGAAUGGAUGGAGUAAUUAGCCUCGUUCCAUUUUGUUUUCUCUUGUGAUAAUGUUAUUGAUGGAUGGUAGUGCAUAGCUUAUGACUUACUGAGUUAUAAACUCACUCGGUGUUUCCUUGUCACCUAUUCUAGGUUUCUUGGACACAUCUCUUUUUGCGUGGUCGGGCCGUCAUCGAAGUCAUCACACCGGAUAGCAAGUUUUGGUACUUUCUUCUUAGUCGGCUUAGGAGAAUAUUUCGGCAUGUAUAGGCUAUUAUGUUGUGUUUGAACUUUAGUAUGUAAACUUUAAGCCAUGCGAAAAUGGCAUGAAUGUUCGAUUGAGUUGGAUCAAGGAGUAGGCAUGAAAUGGACCUAGUUACUUUCGUAACAGAUGCUGGCAGCAGCAGUGACAUGAGAUUGAAA
rnacentral:lncRNA from 1 species